ensembl:lncRNA
GCCUGUGUCAAUCGAGGUUGAGUUUAGUGAGGGUUGAAAGUUUUCGAUCUAGAUUGCAGAUCACUAUUGUCACUUUAUACAAACUGAAAGUAUGCGUUGUUGCGUGUUUGUUUUUGUGGGCAUUUGACUGAACAGCCCAGACAAAUAUUGCUACCAACAUGGCACUUCGAAACAGACCACCGCAGUGAGUAAAAGUUAUUUUCCUUUUAUUAAAUGUUGACGUUUUUGGGCUGUCUCCUCAGACACAAGCCAUCAGUAUCCCUGCUCUUUGCACCUUGACAUGCAUGUCACCGCUGUUUGUUAACCUAGCUUUGCUGAUUUGUAUCUUGUGAUGUGUGUGUGUUUUUCUUAACAGGUGUUAGAUGACUGACAAGAUCUAUGGGGGGGCCCCCUUUGGGCCCCCCAUACCAACUUAGUCUUCAAAGGAAUCUAGUGCCAUGGGACUCCAGUGUCUUCAAAACAUCCUGGGAAUACAUGUGUAUGAAUGGUCCACGAAAGGUUGAUCUGAAGCCACCACGGUCCACGCAGUAAUCUGCUGCGUGGGCGUAGUGGCUUCAGAGCCAUCUUCGGUCUUGGUCAGGAUUUGUUACAGUUGCCCUUAAAUGUAGCAGGCUACGGGUUUCUGAAGAAGCCUGUUUUACGUAGCAUUGGAGUACAAAUAUUGUGCAAAAUGCUCAUGUAAUUGCACUAGCACUGGUAACCUAUAGAUUAGCUUAGUUUAACGUCAUUCGGUGCUGUCUGUCAAAUGUGUGGCUUACUUUAAGUCCACAAGGCCCUCUGGUAAACCACGUUGGAACACCCCUGGACAAGGUGAUUAGUCACUGGGUGUGUGCUAAAGUUUUGUUCCAUUUUUCACUAGUUGGUUAAGGUUUGGUAGAAUUGUUUGGAUGCUAGCGACGUGAUGGAGUAUGUACAAGAGCCUACCGUGGCCAGGCCACAGUUGCGACGGCCACGGACAGAUGGCCUAGUGUGAGUGCAACCUUGAUUGCAUUUGUAUACUGUUUAACAUUGGAUGUUUAUGCAAUUUGGCUUAAUUCAUCCGCUGUAAAGCUGCAUUUGACUAUUCCAGGGUCGUUUUGUACAGGCUUUCAAUUGACCAUGUUGACUAGUUUGUGGGAUUUUUUUUUUUUUUUUUUUUGACCCUUGCUUACAAUCCAACAGUUGCGACACUUGUGCAACUGGGCUGUGAACCUUGCAAUUCUAGUUGCAUAUUUGUACACGCAAGCUUGUCCAUUUCUAUCGCCAUCACUAACACUAGCUUCAGCAUUUCCUUGUAGGCCAUUAGCUGACUUGUGUAUUGGAGCGAUGAUUUGGGUAUUUUAAGAUGCUUGAAAACCUAAAAUAAAGCAAAAUGUGUGUCUGGUGUGCAAGAGCCAAUUUGUUGGCUUGCAGUAGUCGAGGAGUUGCCGUAGGUCGUAAACCAUAAGGUUGUGGCAAUAGAGGCUUGUGGUAGAUCUGCCAUCCAAGAAAGGUUAAUUCUUCUGAAGCAUGAUUAAUAGUUUAGUAAAUUUAAUCUAUUCAUAUAGAACUAUAAAAUCCAAGACUGCAGCCAGUAACUUGGAUCGCAAUAUGUGGAAAGUAUUGGUCUUCAUUUGUAACAACAGAAUAAUUAACAUGACUAAGUGGGUUUCUUCCAUUUUCUAACUAGGGGGACUUGACUGGUGAGUCUACUGGAUUAAUCAGUAGCGGUACUUUGCCCAACAGAUUUGAUGGCAUGACUACAGGUUGGUGGUUCAACACUGAUGUCUCUCUAGGCUUGAGGGAGAGCUCACAAGUAAAUUACACGAAUGUCCUGGAGCAAUUGGGAAUACACUUUUAUUUAGUCUACCUGACCAGGGACAUCUUUGAACUAUAGGUCACCUAACCCAAACUUUUCACUCUUGUUAGGUUGUCCUUUUCUCUUGUUUUAUCCCGAAAGGGCUGAAAAUAUCAACAUUUCAGGUAUUCUGUUUGGAUAAUGUCCAAAACUUGUGGCUUCACUAAUAAAAAAAAAUUAACAAAUGUAUUUUUCUUCAUGUGGUUAAACUAUUUAAAGAUUUGUAUGCAAAAUAUUUCUGCUCAAUUUGUGGUCAAUGAAACUCCAAUUUUUUUAAUUGAUAAAACACAACUAAGGUUUAAAGGUAUUUGCUUUGGGCAUCUUUUGAUAUUUUUAGAAUCUAGCUCCAUUUCCGUUAGAAAUGGUGUCUCCCAGUACUGCAAAGUGCUUCCACAAGUUUAAAAAAAGAAUGGGCAGAAAAGGAACUGCCAACUAAAUCUAUUUAACAUGGGUAGAAAGUUUCCAUGGAAGCUCUUGACUGCUGGUUCCCAACACAGCUCCACUGUUAGCCUGUGACCUUGCGUUUAACUUUUUUGCACUUUUGGUGACUGUCUCAAAAGAGAAAUGAACUGGUUAUUACAAUAAACAAGACAUUUGAAACUUCAGCUACAUUUUUAUCUAUUUGUACUGCCUUUGAUUUCAACCCGUGACAUGUUUGUCAGGUGAUAACUAUGUACCUGUGACCGCAUAUCAUGGUACCAUUUUGAACUGUUUGUGGAUAUUGCAUUAAAUCCAUAUGCUUGAAACUUUUCAAUAAUGCAUAUCAACGAAACAAUGGAAUGAAAUAAAUCAAGCAAUUUGUGGGA